rnacentral:rRNA from 1 species
GUGGGGAAUAUUGGACAAUGGGCGAAAGCCUGAUCCAGCCAUGCCGCGUGUGUGAAGAAGGUCUUCGGAUUGUAAAGCACUUUAAGUUGGGAGGAAGGGCAGUAAGUUAAUACCUUGCUGUUUUGACGUUACCGACAGAAUAAGCACCGGCUAACUUCGUGCCAGCAGCCGCGGUAAUACGAAGGGUGCAAGCGUUAAUCGGAAUUACUGGGCGUAAAGCGCGCGUAGGUGGUUCAGCAAGUUGGAGGUGAAAUCCCCGGGCUCAACCUGGGAACUGGCUCCAAAACUAAUGAGCUAGAGUACGGUAGAGGGUAGUGGAAUUUCCUGUGUAGCGGUGAAAUGCGUAGAUAUAGGAAGGAACACCAGUGGCGAAGGCGACUACCUGGACUGAUACUGACACUGAGGUGCGAAAGCGUGGGGAGCAAACAGGAUUAGAAACCCUUGUAGUCC